rnacentral:rRNA from 1 species
UACGGAGGGUGCAAGCGUUAUCCGGAUUCACUGGGUUUAAAGGGUGCGUAGGUGGGUAGGUAAGUCAGUGGUGAAAUCUCCAAGCUUAACUUGGAAACUGCCGUUGAUACUAUUUAUCUUGAAUAUAGUGGAGGUGAGCGGAAUAUGUCAUGUAGCGGUGAAAUGCUUAGAUAUGACAUAGAACACCAAUUGCGAAGGCAGCUUGCUACACUACUAUUGACACUGAGGCACGAAAGCGUGGGGAUCAAACAGGG